rnacentral:misc_RNA from 1 species
AACGCACAUUGCGCCCGGCAGCAAUCUGCCGGGCAUGCCUGUCCGAGCGUCAUUUCUCCCCUCGAGCAGCGGUUCCCAGUCCUCCGGGGCUGGGGCCGCGGCCCGGUGUUGGGGUCCUGCGGCCUGGCCGCAGUCCCCGAAAUGAAGUGGCGGUCCCGCCGCGGCGCCCCCUGCGUAGUAGUCUACACCUCGCAUCGGGUCCCGGCGAAGGCCAGCCGUCGAACCUAACUCUUGAUGGUUUGACCUCGGAUCAGGUAGGGUUACCCGCUGAACUUAA